ACCUCGGAUCAGGUAGGGAUACCCGC
rnacentral:ncRNA from 3 species